GUCACAGCAAAGGUGAAGGAAACCGGGGUUUGAUCAGGGUCACAGCAAAGGUGAAGGAAACCGGGGUUUGAUCAGGGCCACAGCAAAGGUGAAGGAAACCGGGGUUUGAUCAGGGUCACAGCAAAGGUGAAGGAAACCGGGGUUUGAUCAGGGUCAGAGCAAAGGUGAAGGAAACCGGGGUUUGAUCAGGGUCACAGCAAAGGUGAAGGAAACCGGGGUUUGAUCAGGGUCACAGCAAAGGUGAAGGAAACCGGGGUUUGAUCAGGGCCACAGUAAAGGUGAAGGAAACCGGGGUUUGAUCAGGGUCACAGCAAAGGUGAAGGAAACCGGGGUUUGAUCAGGGUCACAGCAAAGAUGAAGGAAACCGGGGUUUGAUCAGGGCCACAGCAAAGGUGAAGAUGAACUUCUUCAUCUGCAAAGUCUAG